CCUACGGGAGGCAGCAGUGAGGAAUAUUGGUCAAUGGGCGUAAGCCUGAACCAGCCAAGUCGCGUGAGGGAUGAAGGUUCUAUGGAUCGUAAACCUCUUUUAUAAGGGAAUAAAAUGCGGGACGUGUCCCGUUUUGUAUGUACCUUAUGAAUAAGGAUCGGCUAACUCCGUGCCAGCAGCCGCGGUAAUACGGAGGAUCCGAGCGUUAUCCGGAUUUAUUGGGUUUAAAGUGUGCGUAGGCGGCCUUUUAAGUCAGCGGUGAAAGUCUGUGGCUCAACCAUAGAAUUGCCGUUGAAACUGGGAGGCUUGAGUAUGUUUGAGGCAGGCGGAAUGCGUGGUGUAGCGGUGAAAUGCUUAGAUAUCACGCAGAACCCCGAUUGCGAAGGCAGCCUGCUAAGCCAUGACUGACGCUGAUGCACGAAAGCGUGGGGAUCAAACAGGAUUAGAUACCCCUGUAGUC
rnacentral:rRNA from 1 species